GUAGUCCACGCCCUAAACGAUGUCAACUAGGCGUCGGGUUGUUAAAGACUCGGUGCCGGAGCUAACGCAUUAAGUUGACCGCCUGGGGAGUACGGCCGCAAGGUUGAAACUCAAAGAAAUUGACGGGGACCCGCACAAGCGGUGGAGCAUGUGGUUUAAUUCGAUGCAACGCGAAGAACCUUACCAGGCCUUGACAUCCUAGGAACUUGGCAGAGAUGCCUUGGUGCCUUCGGGAACCUAGAGACAGGUGUUGCAUGGCUGUCGUCAGCUCGUGUCGUGAGAUGUUGGGUUAAGUCCCGCAACGAGCGCAACCCUUAUCCUUACUUGCCAGCACUUUGGGUGGGAACUGUAAGGAGACUGCCGGUGACAAACCGGA
rnacentral:rRNA from 1 species